UACGUAGGCAGCAAGCGUUGUUCGGAGUUACUGGGCGUAAAGGGUGUGUAGGCGGUCUACUAAGUCUGGUGUGAAAUCUCCCGGCUCAACUGGGAGGGUGCGCCGGGAAACUGGAAGGCUAGAGUGCGGGAUGGGAGAGUGGAAUUCCGUGGUGUAGCGGUGAAAUGCGUAGAUAUCAGGAGGACACCUGUGGUGUAGACGGCUCUCUGGACCGCAACUGACGCUGAGACACGAAAGCUAGGGGAGCAAACAGG
rnacentral:rRNA from 1 species